rnacentral:lncRNA from 1 species
GACAUAUGCAAUUUGGAAGUUUUAUAAGCAUUUAAAGCACAAAUGUCCUUUAAAAUACAACUCAAGUAAUUAAAAUGAAUUUAUGUAACUCCUACUCCAAAUCUCCAUCCCCUUCAUACCCAAUAUCUAUUAAUGAUUAUACUAAGACAUUAAAAAUUAUUGAAAAAUAUAAAGCUAAUAUCUGUUUUAAAGUGGCAAUACUAUGAGAUUUAAAAAGCACUGCUUUAGUUAGAAUAGUGCAGUUGAAAAGCUGAAAGCAAUUUUCAGCCAUAGAUGGUAAUGCCACAUUCAGUCCACAACCGAAUGACUCUAAAUGACUAAGCUGCGAGGUCUUUGUAUAUGACCACAGGGCCUGAUAAAGCCAUAGGAACACAGUAAAAGUUUGGUGAACUAUUUGUAAAUAAAAUUGCACAUUUUAUCAGAGUUCAACAUGUUCACAGUCCUCACACGACAACAUAUUUUGAUUAUUACUCAGCUAUCAUCACCAUAAAAUGGGCUAUUUUAACUCAUCAUUAUUGGUAGUUAGUUGUAUAACCCAUGCCUCCUAUAUGUGUGCCGGCAUGUUAAUUUUGUCUUACAAGACAAACAGGUAAAAUAAAGAAACUAUAUCUUUACACCACCAACUGAAUAAGGCAUUAUUAUCUAUGAUACUAUUUUCCCCCAGAAGCUUUGCCCAACGCCAAGAUAUCUUUUUGAUUAGGCAGAAAACCCUGAAAUGCAAAAAUUUCGUCUUUGAUGUUCUAUUACAAACCACUUUAAAAGGAUUCUGGGUAGUGAUACUGUGCAGGAUGAGAUGCUACCUUCCCAGAGAAUGAAGACAGAAAUAUAUUUUACAUUUCUUGUCAGAUUGAACUUUAAGACAUCCUGACUGCUUUCUCUAUAAUUUAAACAUCACAGCCAAAAUGGCAACAUGCUUUGUUCAGUUCCAGUUGUGUGGAGUUUUAGUGCUUCAUUGAUUCAGAGGAAGGCUGAGGCUGGCACGGGAGCAGGGCGACGGAAUCACACUCUCACUGCAGCAUGUCAAGCCAUUAUAUCUGGGACCAGAAUGUCACCGUGGUCUCAAUGGUUCGUCAGCUGAAGGAUAUGGUUAACAAAUGUAAAACCAAACUUCAGAGGAGCUGGUUUUCUGUGCUAAGUGAUCUGUAUUCCCUCUGAAUUUACUUUCCCCUAACCCCGUGAAAUUAACAGUACUUUCUGACAUUCGACCCCCUGACCUCACACAUAAUAAGAAUUUAAAAAGCACCAUGCAUGAGUGUGUCUCCGUAAUGCAAAACUGGAAAAAAUGACCAUGUCACAGUUUUAUUAUACAAAACCUUCUCAAUCUCCAUUGCAUGCUUCAUAUAUGAGCGCUCAGUUUAAAGUUAUUAUAAAGAAAAACACAAUUUUGAGAGUAAUAAUUCACUGUUCGUGACUUUUAUAGACAAUAAAUUGUAGCAAAUACAUAUUGCUACCAAAAAGCUUUGUACUCCAUUAAUGCAGAUAUUUACCAAGAUAAGUGUUAAAAAUAGUCCGUUAGAAGACUCUGAUGGUUCAAAAGAAGGGGCUUCCUGGGAGCCGGUUGCCAAGGGUGCAAGUGCAUGCACAAUGUGUAGGUCUCAAGGUUUAAGAGGCAGAAGCAGGAAAGUGUUACGUGGAAAUGAUUUUGUGUUAUCAGGCUCAGGGGAUGACAGCAUACAAGAGUAAGAACAAGGUGCUAUGUGGCUUUUUCUUCACUGUGAAGUAAAGAUUGGCAGCUGGAAGUAAGGC